rnacentral:rRNA from 8 species
UCUGGCGGCAGUAGCGCGGUGGUCCCACCUGACCCCAUGCCGAACUCAGAAGUGAAACGCCGUAGCGCCGAUGGUAGUGUGGGGCCUCCCCAUGCGAGAGUAGGGAACUGCCAGAC